rnacentral:tRNA from 4 species
GGUCGAUUAGCUUAGUUGGUAGAGCGUGGUACUAAUAAUGCCAAGGUCAUGGGUUCGAGCCCCAUAUUGACCA